AUAUCUCUCCGUACGGGAAGGAUGAGAAGCUUCGACUAAGGUUCGAUUCGAGCGCAGCGAGAAC
rnacentral:sRNA from 6 species